UACGUAGGGUGCGAGCGUUGUCCGGAAUUAUUGGGCGUAAAGAGCUCGUAGGCGGUUUGUUGCGUCGGCCGUGAAAUCUCCACGCUUAACGUGGAGCGUGCGGUCGAUACGGGCAGACUUGAGUUCGGUAGGGGAGACUGGAAUUCCUGGUGUAGCGGUGAAAUGCGCAGAUAUCAGGAGGAACACCGGUGGCGAAGGCGGGUCUCUGGGCCGAUACUGACGCUGAGGAGCGAAAGCGUGGGGAGCGAACAGG
rnacentral:rRNA from 1 species